CCCAGCUUUUUAUCACUGGCAUUGGUUGCUCGUCAAAACAAUUAUGUGAGGCCAACUUUGACUACAGAAGACUUGCUUGAUAUACAGAAUGGAAGACAUGUUUUCCAGGAAAUGACUGUAGAUACUUUCAUUCCCAAUGAUACUAAGAUUCAAGAUGAUGGAAGGAUUAAUAUCAUCACUGGCCCUAAUUAUUUAGGGAAAAGUAUCUACAUAAAGCAGGU